rnacentral:lncRNA from 1 species
UGCACAAGUUCACGGCUGGCAACGAUAUCAAUGUGAUUAUCCUUGAAAGGUUGACGGACUACGCACGGGACAAGGAAGCAGCGAGGAGGGUGAUGGAGACGGAGUGGGAGGUGAAGUUUGGGAAACAGGAGGAGGCUUGCAUUGCCAAGGCCAUCAACAAGAGAGGUAUGGAACUCAUUGCUGAUCUUGGUCACUGACGCUUGGUUUUCUUGGGAGUUGUUUUGUUUCUUCUUCUCCUUCAUACUUGUUCAUCUCUUUGUUCUUCUACUUCUUCUCCUUCUUCUUUUAUGCUUGUGUUUUGGCGAAUCCUUUUUUGACUGUCUCAACUCUGUCUCGGUCUUUCAGUCUUGAAAAUAAAAAGCGUUUGGAAGGUUUGCGAGAUGAGUGUCAUAAAAGAAAGUCCAAAAUGAUAAUAAGCCGGGGACAAUGUAUACAUG